CUUUAAAACCAUUCCAGUUCGGAUUGCAGGCUGCAACUCACCUGCAUGAAGCCGGAAUCGCUAGUAAUCGCCGAUCAGCCAUACGACGGUGAAUUCGUUCCCGGGCCUUGUACGCACUGCCCGUCACACUAUGGGAGUUGGCCAUGCCCGAAGUCGUUACCUUAACCGCAAGGAGGGGGAUGCCGAAGGCAGGGCUAGUGACUGGAGUGAAGUCGUAACAAGGUAGCCAUACUGGAAGGUGCGGUUGGAUCACCUCCUUUUCAGGGAGAGCUAAUUCUUGUUGGGUAUUUUGGUUUGACAAUGCUUCACACCCCCAAAAAAGAAGGGAGCUACGUCUGAAUGAAACAGGGAGAUGGGAAG